CGUGGGGAUCGGGGAGGGGGACUCCUACCGCAGGCAGCCGGAGAGAGGGAGGCACAGAACCGCCCCCCCUCGGGCCCCCCCGCGGGGAAGGCUGGGAAGCCUGUGCGAAAACAAGCCCAUUUUAGCCGGUAUGAGUGAAAAACAGAAACAGUGACAUCCAUACUUGCGCUUAUUUCAGAAGACAGUAUUUUAUGAGAAGUGGUGACAGGGCAGAGCGUAUGAAACUGCUUGUUUCAGAACGGGUUGCAACAGGCCCUCCGACUACCAAAAGAUCUCUGCAUCCUUCCUUCUUACUGUCCUCCCCGAGCACGGGCCAUGAGCGCUUCACAGCAACAGUGCAAAGCUGCCUGCACAUGCAAAGACUGUGUAUGGAGAUCAGGGUGAAAGAAGUGAAGUUGGCCUAGGAAGUCCCACAAGCAAGAUUCACUUCUCUGAUUGGAAAAAUUCCUGACUAUGAGAAAAGUGAAGCAUUAAAAUGGAUUGCCUUGGGUGAUGGUGGAAUCCGUAUCAUCCCUGGCUUUUAAGAAAAUCAUACAUUUGAAGAUGAUUGAUUGAUUUGUCUUGGGAGAAAUGGAUAAACUAGAUUAUCUUGUGAAGCCUUUCUUCGGAUUCAGGUUCUAUGAACCUGAGGUUCUUAUGUUUAUUACCAUUAUCAACAGCAUUUUUAAUGCAGUGGCAUCAAGGACUCAAAGUGAUAGCAUAACUUUCUUGCACUAGGUGCAACAGCCACUGCAGAAUAAAGAACAUGGAGACAAUUCCUCCUUUAUACACAUUUACCUGCAAUUUCACUGGCAAAGUGUGUAAUGUGACAAACAUAGUGGUGCUGCCAGAGUGAAGACAUGAAAGAAAGUGAAGAGAGCAGCUGCCUAUAUUUCAAAUCUGAUUGGCAGGAAUGAGUGGCUUCCUGAACAAGAAGGAACAUUAAAUGUGUAUAUCUCCUAAAUCCUAGUUUAGGGUCUUCUGCUGACCUGCUGCUCUGACCUUGAACAGAUCAUCUCCUCAAGCCACCACUUCCUUUCUUGUUCUUUUCUAGUCUUGUUUAUUUAAGAUGGUGUAUCUUAGACAUGAGGAAUAGUAUGGUUGCACUGCAUAUAUCCACUGUUCUCAUAAUUAGUGUUGAAAAUAAUUUGUAAUUCAUACACCUCUGUAUCUAAGUAUAAUAAAAGACAGGCCUCAUUUCUGCAAGGACUACUGCAUGAUGUUAACUAAGCACUAUGUUCAGUUGAAUCCCUGGGGAAUACUCCUUGUACAAAACAGUCCUAUUCAGUGCUGUAAAUCUUGCUGCACUGAGGCCUAAAUUUGCAACAAGAUAAAUCCUAUUUUUGUUCAUGGCAAUAAAAGCUUAACUGAAAAAAAAAAUUGUUACUAACUGUUUAGAAUUUUUUAUCUAUAUGUUAAUGUACGUGUACAAGUACAUUGAACUAGUGAUGAGUUCUGAAUCAUAUUAAGCAUGUGAUUAGAAAUUUGCUUCUUUUUCAAGUAUCAUAUUGCUUCUGCCUUUGACCACUCUUGUUAAAGUGAUUUCUGAUACUGUGAUGUACUGUUCAGAGAGGUUUAUUCUUUUAGGUUUACAUAGUGCUACAGUAUACAUCAUACUCGAGCACAAUUCGUACUGAUAUAUAUUGCCCCCAAUACUGGGGACACCAUGCAAAUACUAGGAAGAAAAGUUCCUGACCAAAGAACUCAAACAUGAACUUAACCCAGUGAAGAGUCAUUUAUUCAAAACUAUAAAAGUGAAAGAGGGCAGCAAGAAAUACAAAGUAUCUCAUUAUUUUCACUUACUGAUUGAUAAAAUGGCAGAUAAAUUUAAAAGGUGAUAAAUACAAUUCAAUGUGUAUUGUAAAAACAAUGUCUUUUACGUGUACAGUGAUAUGACCUAGAGAACCCUGCUACAAUGUAACUUGCCUUGUUAGUAUAUUACAUUAAGUAUCUCAUGCUGAAUAUAUUCAGUUUCAUUACUUAAAUACACCUGCUUUUUAAAAACAAACAAACAUUUCUAUUGUGGCAUGACUGACUGCUGCAAACCAGUUUUAAAGCUCUUUCACCUACAACACAGCGUAUAGAUAAUGCCACGUUUCCAUCUAAAUAAAACUUGUAAGAUGCUUUUUCGUAUUUCUGACAGGCAGUGCUGAAGUGUCUAGAGGCUGUGCAAUGAAUCUGUAUUUUCAUAGCUACGUAUUUGUACCUGUAUUCUCUGAGGUAUAUUCUCUGGGACCAGGUAAAUGGCAUGAAGAUACAAUGAAAUUAUGCCAGGAUUACCUUUUAAAUUAAGAGUAUGCUCAAGGGAAUAUUUUAUCAUUUAAAAUCUGUAAACGAAUCAUGUAAAUAAAUCUGGUCAUUCAAUCA